CUGAUAGUUAGUAUUUUAAGGGCCGCAGUAUUCUGACUGUGCAAAGGUAGCGAAUCAUUAGGUUUUUAAUUGAGAUCUUGUAUGAAUGAUUGGACAAGAGAAAUACUGUCUUUAUAUUAAAACUUGAAUUUAACUUUUAAGUGAAAAGGCUUAAAUAUACUAAAGGGACGAUAAGACCCUAUAAAACUUUACAUUUACGUUAAAUUUUAUGGAAUUUGAAGAUUAUAAUUAUUAAAUUUAAUUUUUUGUUAUGUUGGGGAGACAAGAGCUAUAAUUAUAUAUAACUGCUUUUAAGUAAAACAAAAAUAAGUGGGGAGAUUAAAGAUCCUUUAUUGAGAUUGUAAGAUUAAGUUACUUUAGGGAUAACAGCGUUAUUUUUUUUGAGAGUUCAUAUUGAAAAAAAAGAUUGCGACCUCGAUGUUGAAUUAAAAUAUCUUUAUAAUGCAGGUGUUAUAAAAGAAGGUCUGUUCGACCUUUAAUUUUUUACGUGAUCUGAGUUCAAACGG
rnacentral:rRNA from 1 species